AGUUUAGCGUCGACAGUCGUUGAGUGCGGACGUAUCACGGGCAGUGUCUGUUACUCCGAUAAGGAAUACGUGAAUAUAAUAUUAAUUAAUUCGUAAUAGACAACACUUUAGAUAUUUCAGUUCAUGUAAAAUGUAUGUGGUGUGGGGUUUGUGUGGCUUUGUAGUUUGGAGGAUGUGAUCUUGAGUCGAAAAUUAAAAAGGAUGUUAUCUAGUAUCACAAUGGAAUCGUGAAGAUGUCAUCAGAGACGACAACAAAGAAAAGCAAAUUUGUGAAAAAAAAAUGUUGAUUAUAAAAAAGAUAUUGAAAGAAAACCUUUAGAUAAAUUGUAAAGAUUGAUUUAUUCUAAAAAUAAAAGUAAAAAAAAAAACAACAAUA
rnacentral:misc_RNA from 1 species